GGAGCAGUUAGAUAGGGUAGAGGCAGAAGUAGACGCAAUUAAACAUGAAGGAUUGUGAAGGCAAAAGAUGAACCAGCCAGCCUAGUCUCUGGAUGCAUAAGCUCCAAGUGUGGAGGAGACCCGGAGAGAAAAGCAGACUGUUCUCUGUGUUUACCUGUAAGUACAGGCCGCAACCUGCCAUGCUGUUUUUAAAUGCCCAAGGGCUGGUGACAAGAGGGUUUCCCUUUGCCAUCUGGACCUGAUUGCCUUAGAGUGAAAGUCGACAUUGCAAACCACAGUGACAUGUGGAUAAAACUCACGAUGUUGGGGGGAGAAGAGCAAAACAUAUGCUUCACAAUAAAAACACUCAAUAUCCUAGGAAUAGGAGGGAACUUCCUCAACCAGAUAAAGGGCAUCUAUGAAAAACCCAGAGCUAACAUCACACUUAAUCGUGAAAGACUGAAAGCUUUCCCUCUAAAAUCAGAAACAAGAAAAGGAUGUCUACUACUGCCACUGCAAUUCAACAUUGUUCUGGAAAAUUCUAGGCAGAACAAGCAGGCAAGAGAAAAGAAGAGGUAUCCAGAUUGGAAAGGAAGAAAUAAAACUGUCUCUGUUUGAGAGUUGUCAUAAUCUUGUACAUAGAAGAUUAUGAAGAAGCUACCAAAAACUAUUUGAAUGACUAAACAAGUUUAGUAUGGUUGCAGGAUACAAGAUCAAUAUGCAAAAACCAGCUGUAGUUCUUCUAUAUGUUGAAAAGAAGAAAAUUUAGAAUGAAAUUAAGAAAAAUUCAUUCACAAGAGCAUCAAAAAGAAUAAAAAAUAAGGCCAGGCAUGGUGGCUCAUGCCAGUUAAUCCCAGCACUAUGGGAGGCUGAGGAAGGAGGAUCACUCAAGCCCAGGAGUUUGAGACCACCUGAGCAACACGGCAAGACUCUAUCUCUACCAAAGAUUUUAAAAAAUUAGCCAGGUGUAGUGGCCAUGCCUGCAGUCCUAGUUACUCAGGAGGUUGAGGUGGGAGGAUCACUUGAACUCAGGAGAUUGAGGCUGCAGUGAGCUAUGAUCUGGUCACUGUACUCCAGCCUGGGUGUCAGAGAGAGAGAUCCUGUCUCUAAAUGAAAAUAAAUAAAUAAAUAAAAGAAAAUUUUAAAAAAGAAUGAAAUACUUAGGAAUACAUUUAACUAAAGAAGUAUGAGGCUUUUUACAUUGCAAAACUAUAUAACAUUGUUGAAAGAAACUAAAGAAGACCUAAAUAAAUGGAAAGACAUCCCAUGUUUAUAGAUGGAAAAGUUUAAUAUUAAGAUAGCAAAACUUCUCAAAUUGAUCUACAGAUUCAAUGCCAUCCUUUCAAAAUACCAGCUAACUUUUUUGCAGAAAUUAACAAACCAAUCCUAAAAUUCAUAUGGAAAUUCAAGAGAAUCAGAGCAGUUAACCUUCAAAAAGAACAAAGUUGGAGUGUUCAUACUUCCUGAGUACUAAAACUUAGUACAAAGCUAUAGUAAUCAGAUAGUAUGAAAUUGACAUAAGGACAGACAUAUAGAUCACUUGACUAGGCUUGACAGUCCAGAAAUAAACCUUCACAUUUCUGAUCAAUUGAUUUUCUACAAGGCAGCCAACACAAUUCUGUUUUAAAUAUGGUGGUAGGACAACGGAUUAGCUACAUUCAAAAGAAUGAAGUGAGACCCUUAACUCACACCAUAAACAAAAACUAAUUAAAAAUGGAUCAAAGACCUAAAUGCAAGCAUUAAAACUAUAAAACUCUUAGAAGAAAACAUACGAGGAAAUCUUCAUGACCUUGGAUUAGUCAAUGGAUUCUAAGAUAUGAUACCCAAAGCAUAAGCAACAAAAGAAAAAAUAGAAAAAUUGGACUUUUUUUUUAAGAGAUGGGGUCUUAUUAUGUUGCCCAGGCUGGACUUGAAAUCCUAGGCUCAAGUGAUCCUCCUACCUCAGCCUCCUGAGUAGCUGGGACUACAAACAUGUACCGCCAUGCCCAGCUAAAUUGGACUUUAAAAUGGAAAACUUUUGUGCUUCAAAGACGUCAAAAAAGUGAAGACACAGAAUGAGAGAAAAUUUUCACAAAUUGUAUAUCUGAUAAGAGACUUGUGCCUAGAAUCUAUAAAGAAUGAUUACCACUCAAUAAUAAAAAGACAAAUAACCCAAUUAAAAAAAGGCAAAGGAUCUGAAUAGACGUUUCUCCAAAGAAGAUAAAUAAAUGGCCGAUAAACACUUGAAAAGAUGCUCAACAUCAUUUGCCAUCAGGGAAAAGCAAAUCAAAACCAUGAUGAGAUGAUGAGAUACCACUUCACACCCACUAGGGUGGCUAUAAUAAAAAAGACAGAUCGUAAUAACUGUUGGCAAGGAUGUAGUGAAAUUCGAACCAUCAUCACACAUUGCUGGUGGGAAUGUAAAGUAGCACAGAGCUUUGAAAAACUGUUUGGCAGUUUCUCAAAAACUUAGAGUUACCAUAUGACUCAGCAACUUCCCUCAUAGGUAUAUAGAAGAGAAAUGAAAACAUAUGUCCACACAAAAACUUGUACAUGAAUGUUCAUAGCCGUAUUAUUCAUAAUAGCCAAAAGUGGAAAUCACCCAAAUGGUAAACUGAUGAGUGAAUAAAUAAAAUGUGCUUUAUACAUACAAUGAAACAUUCUUUGUCAAUAAUGAAGAACUGAUCCCUGCUGCAACACAGGGGAACCUAAAAGCAUGAUGUUAAGUGAAGGAAGUCAGAUUCAAAGGUCCAUGAUUCCAUUAUAAAUGGCAUUCCAUCUGUGGAAUUCCAUAUAUGGAACGUCUAGAAUAGGAACACUUCCUUUCUAUAGAGACAGAAAGGAAAUUAGGAGUUGCCAAGAGAGGAUGGGGAGACUGGUGGGUGAUGGCUGAGAAGGUGGCCGUGUUUCUUUUUGGGGUAACGAAAGUGUUCUGAAAUUGAUUGUAGUGAUGGCAGUACAACUCUGAAUUUACUGAAAGCCAUUGACUUGUACAUUUUAAA